AGGUUUUAAAGUUGAGUCAGUGCAGAGUGAAGUUUGUUUUUGACUUGUCUAUGUGUGUUUUUCAUAUGCUUAAGUGUUUAUACUUGUUUAUGUGCUUGAUUGCUAUGAGUUUGAGCCAAGUUGAGAGUUAAGUCGAUAAUAGGACGUGUGAAUCCUUAGAAGCCGAGUAUACCUAGGGAUUGAGUUUUAAUGGGUAAAUAGACGUUGAGUGAAAAGUUAUAGUUGAGAUGAGAUUGGAAUUAGUAAUGAGUUACUAAUCGAGAUUCAUUUUAUGACAUGAACCUUCGAUGAUGAUGAUAAUCCCUGAAGACACGAGCAGAGCAAGGAAGUAAGUAACUCCGCUUUGACGGGAGAUUUUGAGUAAGGUCUUCAGACUAAGCGAGGAGCGAGAUUGGACUGGUGCUGGUGGGGAAUUGUUAGAGGAUGUAUUUACUUUAUCGCAUUUCCAUUUUGACGAUAAAGUCUUGAUGAUUGAUAUAUAUAUACUUUGAUUUUCUUUUGAAUUUAAGCAAUGUACUCACGGUUAUAUGUCUUCAUACAUAUAAUCGAUUCGCCUUUUGCUGC